UACGUAGGGUGCGAGCGUUGUCCGGAAUUACUGGGCGUAAAGGGCUCGUAGGCGGUUUGUCGCGUCGGGAGUGAAAACUCAGGGCUUAACCCUGAGCCUGCUUCCGAUACGGGCAGACUAGAGGUAUGCAGGGGAGAACGGAAUUCCUGGUGUAGCGGUGAAAUGCGCAGAUAUCAGGAGGAACACCGGUGGCGAAGGCGGGUCUCUGGGCCGAUACUGACGCUGAGGAGCGAAAGCGUGGGGAGCAAACAGG
rnacentral:rRNA from 1 species